rnacentral:rRNA from 1 species
AGCUCCAAUAGCGUAUAUUAAAGUUGUUGCAGUUAAAAAGCUCGUAGUUGGAUUUCGGAAGGUCCUUAGUAAUCCGCCCCUUCGGGGAGCGGGUUGCUGGCCUCCUAUGUUCCUAACGGUCCUCAUCCGCGAGGGUGGGGAACUAAACCGCUAGGAUCGUUUACUUUGAGGAAAUUAGAGUGUUCAAAGCAGGCGUAACUCGCCUCCGAAUACGUUAGCAUGGGAUAAUGGAAUACGACUUCGGUCUUGUUUCGUUGGUUUCGCUUGGCUGAAGUAAUGAUUGAUAGGGACAGUUGGGGGCAUUAGUAUUUAGUUGUCAGAGGUGAAAUUCUAGGAUUUACUAAAGACUGACCAAUGCGAAAGCAUUUGCCAAGGAUGUUUUCA